rnacentral:misc_RNA from 1 species
UCCUAGCCCCGAUUGAAGCUUUGUUUAAGCUCAUUUUUUUAUUUUUGGCGCGGCGGCUUCGCCGCCGCGCCAAAAAUAAAAAAAUAGCGAGUGCGGAAAGCGGGAUAAAGC